ACGAGAAGCUUGCUUCUCUGAUGUUAGCGGCGGACGGGUGAGUAACACGUGGAUAACCUACCUAUAAGACUGGGAUAACUUCGGGAAACCGGAGCUAAUACCGGAUAAUAUUUUGAACCGCAUGGUUCAAAAGUGAAAGACGGUCUUGCUGUCACUUAUAGAUGGAUCCGCGCUSCAUUAGCUAGUUGGUAAGGUAACGGCUUACCAAGGCAACGAUGCAUAGCCGACCUGAGAGGGUGAUCGGCCACACUGGAACUGAGACACGGUCCAGAYUCCUACGGGAGGCAGCAGUAGGGAAUCUUCCGCAAUGGGCGAAAGCCUGACGGAGCAACGCCGCGUGAGUGAUGAAGGUCUUCGGAUCGUAAAACUCUGUUAUUAGGGAAGAACAUAUGUGUAAGUAACUGUGCACAUCUUGACGGUACCUAAUCAGAAAGCCACGGCUAACUACGUGCCAGCAGCCGCGGUAAUACGUAGGUGGCAAGCGUUAUCCGGAAUUAUUGGGCGUAAAGCGCGCGUAGGCGGUUUUUUAAGUCUGAUGUGAAAGCCCACGGCUCAACCGUGGAGGGUCAUUGGAAACUGGAAAACUUGAGUGCAGAAGAGGAAAGUGGAAUUCCAUGUGUAGCGGUGAAAUGCGCAGAGAUAUGGAGGAACACCAGUGGCGAAGGCGACUUUCUGGUCUGUAACUGACGCUGAUGUGCGAAAGCGUGGGGAUCAAACAGGAUUAGAUACCCUGGUAGUCCACGCCGUAAACGAUGAGUGCUAAGUGUUAGGGGGUUUCCGCCCCUUAGUGCUGCAGCUAACGCAUUAAGCACUCCGCCUGGGGAGUACGACCGCAAGGUUGAAACUCAAAGGAAUUGACGGGGACCCGCACAAGCGGUGGAGCAUGUGGUUUAAUUCGAAGCAACGCGAAGAACCUUACCAAAUCUUGACAUCCUUUGACAACUCUAGAGAUAGAGCCUUCCCCUUCGGGGGACAAAGUGACAGGUGGUGCAUGGUUGUCGUCAGCUCGUGUCGUGAGAUGUUGGGUUAAGUCCCGCAACGAGCGCAACCCUUAAGCUUAGUUGCCAUCAUUAAGUUGGGCACUCUAAGUUGACUGCCGGUGACAAACCGGAGGAAGGUGGGGAUGACGUCAAAUCAUCAUGCCCCUUAUGAUUUGGGCUACACACGUGCUACAAUGGACAAUACAAAGGGCAGCGAAACCGCGAGGUCAAGCAAAUCCCAUAAAGUUGUUCUCAGUUCGGAUUGUAGUCUGCAACUCGACUACAUGAAGCUGGAAUCGCUAGUAAUCGUAGAUCAGCAUGCUACGGUGAAUACGUUCCCGGGUCUUGUACACACCGCCCGUCACACCACGAGAGUUUGUAACACCCGAAGCCGGUGGAGUAACCUUAGGA
rnacentral:rRNA from 2 species